GAUGAACGCUGGCGGCGUGCCUAAUACAUGCAAGUCGAGCGAACAGACGAGGAGCUUGCUCCUCUGACGUUAGCGGCGGACGGGUGAGUAACACGUGGAUAACCUACCUAUAAGACUGGGAUAACUUCGGGAAACCGGAGCUAAUACCGGAUAAUAUAUUGAACCGCAUGGUUCAAUAGUGAAAGACGGUUUUGCUGUCACUUAUAGAUGGAUCCGCGCCGCAUUAGUUAGUUGGUAAGGUAACGGCUUACCAAGGCAACGAUGCGUAGCCGACCUGAGAGGGUGAUCGGCCACACUGGAACUGGGACCCGGUCCAGACUCCUACGGGGGGCAGCAGUAGGGAAUCUUCCGCAAUGGGCGAAAGCCUGCCGGAGCAACGCCGCGUGGUUGAUGAAGGUCUUCGGAUCGUAAAACUCUGUUAUUAGGGAAGAACAAAUGUGUAAGUAACUAUGCACGUCUUGACGGUACCUAAUCAGAAAGCCACGGCUAACUACGUG
rnacentral:rRNA from 1 species